AGAUUGAACGCUGGCGGCGUGCUUAACACAUGCAAGUCGAGCGGUAACGCGGGAGCAAUCCUGGCGACGAGCGGCGAACGGGUGAGUAAUGCUUGGGAAUCUGCCCAUUAGUGGGGAACAACCAGCCGAAAGGUUGGCUAAUACCGCAUACGCCCUACGGGGGAAAGCGGGGGAUCGAAAGACCUCGCGCUAAUGGAUGAGCCCAAGUCGGAUUAGCUUGUUGGUAGGGUAACGGCCUACCAAGGCGACAAUCCGUAGCUGGUCUGAGAGGACGACCAGCCACACUGGGACUGAGACACGGCCCAGACUCCUACGGGAGGCAGCAGUGGGGGAAUAUUGGACAAUGGGGGCAACCCUGAUCCAGCGACGCCGCGUGUGUGAAGAAGGCCUGUGGGUUGUAAAGCACUUUUAGUGGGGAUGAAAAGCUCAGGGUUAACACCUCUGGGUCUUGACCUAACCACAGAAAAGCACCGGCUAACUCUGUGCCAGCAGCCGC
rnacentral:rRNA from 1 species